AAUACUUCACCCUGCGUGAGCGCACAAUCACAUAAACCGUGAGUAUUUCUAUUCGAAACUUGAAAAAAAAAAUAGAAAACUUUGAACAACGGAUCUCUUGGUUCUCGCAUCGAUUAAAAGCGCAGCGAAAUGCGAUACCUAUUGUGAAUUGUUUCCAUCGAGAAUCAACUCGUUCUUGAACGCACCUUGCGCCCGUCGGGUUUCCGGCGGGCAUGCCUGUCUGAACGUCCUUUCCUUCUUGGAACUUUUGUUAAAGAAAGAUCCAAAACUGGCCGGGCCCCUGGCCCGGCCCAAAAAAAACGUUGCGGACGAAGCCUGUUUGACCGGAUUUUUUGGCCGCCCAUUCAAAAAAUGGUAUUGAGCUCGACCUCAAAUCAGGUAGGAGUACCCGCUGAACUUAACCAUAUUGUAAAACGGAGGAAUCUUUCUGAAAUAAUGUAUUAGGUUCUUCCAACUCGUUAUAUCAGCUAGGCAGGUUUAGAAGUAUUUUAGGCUCGGCUUAACAACAAUAAACUAAAAGUUUGACCUCAAAUCAGGUAGGACUACCCGCUGAACUUAAGCAUAUCAAUAAGCGGAGGA
rnacentral:rRNA from 1 species